rnacentral:tRNA from 1 species
CGGAGCAGAGCAGCCCGGUAGCUCGCCAGCCUCAUAAGCUGGAGGCCACAGGUUCGAAUCCUGCCUCCCAACCA